UUGGAGGGCAAGUCUGGUGCCAGCAGCCGCGGUAAUUCCAGCUCCAAUAGCGUAUAUUAAAGUUGUUGCAGUUAAAAAGCUCGUAGUUGAAUUUCGGGAUCAGAUUGUCGGUCGUGCCUCGGUACGCACUGGUAUUAUUGGUUCCUACCUUCUGAAGAACCGCGAUGUCAUUAAUUUGGUGUCGUGGGGAAUCAGGACUGUUACUUUGAAAAAGUUAGAGUGUUUAAAGCAGGCUUACGCUUGAAUACAUUAGCAUGGAAUAAUGAAAUAGGACGUUUGAUUCUAUUUUGUUGGUUUCUAGGAUUGACGUAAUGAUUAAUAGGGAUAGUUGGGGGCAUUAGUAUUCAAUUGUCAGAGGUGAGAUUCUUGGAUUUAUUGAAGACUAACUACUGCGAAAGCAUUUGCCAAGGAUGUUUUCAUUAAUCAAGAACGAAAGUUAGGGGAUCGAAGACGAUCAGAUACCGUCGUAGUCUUAACCAUAAACUAUGCCGACUAGGGAUCGGAUGAUGUUAAUUUUUUAAUGACUCAUUCGGCGCCUUACGGGAAACCAAAGUGUUUGGGUUC
rnacentral:rRNA from 1 species